UUUUUUUUUUUUUUUUUUUUUUUUUUUUUUUUUUUUUUUUUUUUUUUUUUCAAGACAGCAGGGAA
rnacentral:ribozyme from 1 species